GACGUAGGGCGCGAGCGUUGUCCGGAUUUAUUGGGCGUAAAGAGCUCGUAGGCGGUUUGGGUAGUCAGGUGUGAAAUCUCCACGCUCAACGUGGAGGGGCCACCUGAUACUGCCAUGACUUGAGUCCGGUAGGGGAGUGUGGAAUUCCCGGUGUAGCGGUGAAAUGCGCAGAUAUCGGGAGGAACACCCGUAGCGAAGGCGGCACUCUGGGCCGUGACUGACGCUGAGGAGCGAAAGCGUGGGGAGCAAACAGG
rnacentral:rRNA from 1 species